GAUGAACGCUGGCGGCGUGCCUAAUACAUGCAAGUAGAACGCUGAAGCUUGGUGCUUGCACCGAGCGGAUGAGUUGCGAACGGGUGAGUAACGCGUAGGUAACCUGCCUCUUAGCGGGGGAUAACUAUUGGAAACGAUAGCUAAUACCGCAUAAAAGUCGAUAUCGCAUGAUAUUGAUUUGAAAGGUGCAAAUGCAUCACUAAGAGAUGGACCUGCGUUGUAUUAGCUAGUUGGUGAGGUAACGGCUCACCAAGGCGACGAUACAUAGCCGACCUGAGAGGGUGAUCGGCCACACUGGGACUGAGACACGGCCCAGACUCCUACGGGAGGCAGCAGUAGGGAAUCUUCGGAAAUGGGGGCAACGCUGACCGAGCAACGCCGCGUGAGUGAAGAAGGUUUUCGGAUCGUAAAGCUCUGUUGUAAGAGAAGAACGGGUGUGAGAGUGGAAAGUUCACACUGUGACGGUAACUUACCAGAAAGGGACGGCUAACUACGUG
rnacentral:rRNA from 1 species